rnacentral:rRNA from 1 species
GACGAACGCUGGCGGCGUGCUUAACACAUGCAAGUCGGACGGUGAAGCGCCUUCCUUUUUGGUGGGUGUGGAUGAGUGGCGAACGGGUGAGUAACACGUGAGUAACCUGCCCCCUUCUUCUGGAUAACCGCAUGAAAGUGUGGCUAAUACGGGAUAUUCUGGGUCUGUCGCAUGAUGGGUCUGGGAAAGAUAUUGUUUCGGUGGGGGAUGGGCUCGCGGCCUAUCAGCUUGUUGGUGGGGUGAUGGCCUACCAAGGCGGUGACGGGUAGCCGGCCUGAGAGGGUGGACGGUCACACUGGGACUGAGACACGGCCCAGACUCCUACGGGAGGCAGCAGUGGGGAAUAUCGCACAAUGGGCGCAAGCCUGAUGCAGCGACGCCGCGUGAGGGAUGGAGGCCUUCGGGUUGUGAACCUCUUUCGCCAGUGAAGCAGGCCUGCCUCGUUUGUGGGUGGGUUGACGGUAGCUGGAUAAGAAGCGCCGGCUAACUACGUG